rnacentral:rRNA from 1 species
UACGAAGGGGGCUAGCGUUGCUCGGAAUGACUGGGCGUAAAGGGCGCGUAGGCGGAUCGGACAGUCAGAUGUGAAAUUCCUGGGCUUAACCUAGGGGCUGCAUUUGAUACGUGUGGUCUAGAGUGAGGAAGAGGGUCGUGGAAUUCCUAGUGUAGCGGUGAAAUGCGUAGAGAUUAGGAAGAACACCAGUGGCGAAGGCGACUUACUGGACUGUAACUGACGCUGAGGCAUGAAAGCGUGGGGAGCAAACAGG